GUGCUCACUUCGGCAGCACUUAUACUAAAACUGGAACGAUAUAGAGAUUAGCAUGGCCCCUGCACAAGGAUGACACACAAAUCCGUGAAGUGUUCCAUAUUUUC
rnacentral:snRNA from 1 species